rnacentral:rRNA from 1 species
AACGAACGCUGGCGGCAGGCCUAACACAUGCAAGUCGAACGCCGUAGCAAUACGGAGUGGCAGACGGGUGCGUAACGCGUGGGAACAUACCCUUUGGUUCGGAAUAACGUCAGGGGAAACUUGAGCUAAUACCGGAUAAGCCCGUUACGGGGAAAGGAUUUAUCGCCAAUGGAUUGGCCCGCGUCUGAUUAGCUAGUUGGUGAGGUAAGU